rnacentral:rRNA from 1 species
UACGUAGGGGGCUAGCGUUGUCCGGAAUCAUUGGGCGUAAAGAGCGUGUAGGCGGCCCGGUAAGUCCGCUGUAAAAGUCAAAGGCUCAACCUUUGAAUGUCAGUGGAUACUGCCGGGCUAGAGUCCGGGAGGGGCGAGUGGAAUUCCUGGUGUAGCGGUGAAAUGCGCAGAUAUCAGGAAGAACACCAAUGGCGAAAGCAGCUCUCUGGGACGGUACUGACGCUGAGACGCGAAAGCGUGGGGAGCGAACAGG